rnacentral:rRNA from 1 species
UAAGCAAAUUAAACAAAACUUUCAACAACGGAUCUCUUGGUUCUGGCAUCGAUGAAGAACGCAGCGAAAUGCGAUAAGUAAUGUGAAUUGCAGAAUUCAGUGAAUCAUCGAAUCUUUGAACGCACAUUGCGCCCUUUGGUAUUCCGAAGGGCAUGCCUGUUCGAGCGUCAUUUCACCACUCA